UAGGGAAUAUUGGGCAAUGGGCGAAAGCCUGACCCAGCCAUGCCGCGUGAAGGAUGAAGGUUAUAGAAUUGUAAACUUCUUUUGCAAGCCAAUAGGUAGCUUGCGAAUAAGCCCCGGCUAACUACGUGCCAGCAGCCGCGGUAAUACGUAGGGGGCAAGCGUUGUCCGGAUUUACUGGGUUUAAAGGGUGCGUAGGCGGUUUGGUAAGUCGGCGAUGAAAUGACGGCGCUCAACGUCGUCGCUGUUGCCGAUACUGCCGGACUGGAGUGCGGUCAAGGUAGCUGGAAUGAGUGGUGUAGCGGUGAAAUGCGUAGAGAUCACUCAGAACACCGAUUGCGAAGGCAGGUUACUGGGCCAUUACUGACGCUGAGGCACGAAAGUGUGGGGAGCAAACAGGAUUAGAUACCCGGGUAGU
rnacentral:rRNA from 1 species